CUAGUCCUCUGUGGUUGUUUGUGUACAUACAGGACUGAAUUGCAUUCUCGGCGCAGGGAGGCGUAGGAACCACCAGUCUGAACCAGAACUAGCUUUACAGCGAAGCUGCUGCUUGCUAGCAACACAGCUUUGAACAUCGGGGCUGGCGAGAAGAUAAUAGAGAAAACUGGAACGCCAUCACGGAUUUCUUGUGGGACAAACGUACAGGCCUCGCUGCUAAAACGAUGCCUCACACUAGACGGUACUCGUCUUCGGACAGAGACAGUCGAAGCAGCUACCAAGACCGUUACAGAGACAGAGGGCGAAGACACCGGCACAGAAGAUCGCCUUCUUACUCCUCCAGCAGUGACAGAGACAGAGACAGAGACCGAGACCGAGACAGAAGGGGACGGGGACGGGGACAGGAAGGAAGCUUUGUGCACUCAAGGAGUCGUAGCUUUGACAAUCGCUCUACGGAGCACCGGCCAUUUGACCGAAGAUACUGCGAGGGAUACAGGCGCUUGGGUCAGAGCCGAGAUCGAGACCGUGACAGAGAAAGGGUGCCACAUGGAGCAGCUGAAAGUUACUAUCCACGGGAUUUCUCCCCAAACAUGUACGACUACCGACGUGGCCGUGAGAGGGAACGAGACGAAUCGUACCGGCGGAAAGGCAGCAGGCGUAAGCACAAACGAAGGCGGCGUAGAACCAGGUCCUAUAGCCCAUCCUCCUCGCGGAGUGACAGCCGGACGCGGGCACUGAGUGUGAGGGACGACGAGGAAGGGCACCUGAUCUGUCGGAGUGGGGACGUCCUGCAAGAGAGAUAUGAGAUUGUCAGCACUUUGGGAGAAGGCACCUUUGGGAGGGUUAUGCAGUGCAUUGACCAUCGCAGGGGAGGAGCCUCUGUUGCUCUUAAAAUAAUCAAAAAUGUGGAGAAAUACAAGGAGGCAGCUCGCCUGGAGAUAAAUGUUCUAGAAAAGAUCAAUGAAAAGGACCCUGAUAACAAAUUCCUGUGUGUACAGAUGUACGACUGGUUCGACUACCACGGUCACAUGUGCAUCUCCUUUGAGCUGCUGGCGCUCAGCACCUUCGACUUUCUAAAGGAAAACAACUACCUGCCCUACUCAAUUGGUCAUGUCAGACACAUGGCCUACCAGAUCUGUCUCGCUGUGAAGUUCCUACAUGACAAUAAGCUGACGCACACAGACCUGAAGCCUGAAAACAUCCUGUUUGUCAACUCAGAAUUCAUUAUGUCCUUUAAUGUAGUGAAGAAGCGAGAGGAUCGGACGGUUAAGACCACGGCAGUACGUGUGGUGGACUUUGGGAGUGCCACUUUUGACCACGAGCACCACAGCACCAUUGUGUCCACGCGGCAUUACCGUGCUCCUGAGGUCAUACUAGAGCUGGGCUGGAGCCAUCCCUGUGAUGUGUGGAGCAUCGGCUGCAUCCUGUUUGAGUACUACCUGGGCUUCACCUUGUUUCAGACUCAUGACAACAGGGAGCAUUUGGCCAUGAUGGAGAGAAUCCUGGGACCGGUGCCCUCCAGGAUGAUUCGUAAGACGAGGAAGCAGAAGUAUUUCUAUCGUGGCCGCCUGGACUGGGACGAGAGCUCCUCAGCGGGGAAAUACGUCAGAGAAAACUGCAAACCCUUGCGGCGGUACUUGCUGUCGGAGGCGGAGGAGCACCACCAGCUGUUUGACCUCAUAGAAAGCAUGUUGGAGUAUGAGCCCACCAAGAGGCUGGCGCUGGCCGACUCCCUCAAACACCCUUUCUUUGAGAGUGGGGCGAUUGGCGAGGCAGGGAGCAGCAAGAACUGGGAGGGAAACCGGGACAUCAGCCGGUGACCCAUAAGCCUCCAAAGACUAAAUGAUCAAGUCUUUUUUUAUUGUGGAGCAGGUGAACUGUUAAAUUAAUCGGGGCUUCGGAUGUUUCCUGUCGUUAGUCAUUAAAGCAUGGACACCUUAACUUCUUCUUGCUCCUUCAUCCUGCCCCUCUGACGUCCACCUCUGCAGCCACAAGAGGCAUGUUUCUGCAGCAGACCAAACAAAAGACUGGAAAAGAGUUGAAAAGAACGAAAUCUUUUCUAAACAUAGAGGACAACAAUCUUAAAUGGAAUAUUGUUUAUACCCAAAGUAGCCCUCUAUGCAGUUCCUGUCUUCCUUUUGACUUCUGAACUUCCUUCCUCCUUUCCGUCCGUCCGUAUUUUAUUUUCAUCAGCAUGUAAACAAAAUAAUUCACCUUUUUAUAAUGAAAUAAGCACUACAAAACAGGUUACACAAUAACUCCGCUUUGGAAUAGAAAUGUCUUCCGAUUCUGAAGUCUAAGGAAAGGUUAGAAAGGAGAUGGAGCUGUAUAUGCAGUGCCAAGUCCUUGCACGCAUAACUAAACAUGGAGACGUGUAAUAUAUUCUAUUAUGCUAACAACAAAUCAUUCAAAUUGAAUAUAUAUUUCCAUGGAAAUUGCAAUUAUCUCAAGCAGAGACAAGUGUCUCAAGUUUCUGUUUCUGUUUUUGUUAAGUGAGCUCUUUUUUUCACGUCUAAAAGGAUUAUCCCCGAUAAGGAGACUCUUGCCCUUAAUUUCGGGUCGACAGGUCUGUUAUUAUUUGCCAACGAGAUGAUAAUGGUGAUUGACACUCCACACACACGGGGCGCUGUGGCCUGUCUUAUUGAUGGAUAUAUGUUUGUUACGUUAUACAUUGCUUUAUGUGUGUGUGUGUGUGUGUGUGUGUGUGUGUGUGCGCGUGUGCGUACGUACAUGUGCGCGCAGGGAUGGUGUGGGUGACACGUUCAUACUAAUGUUUUGCUCAGUUACUUCUUGCAUUUGUCAUGGGAACAUUCUUGCAAACUUUUAAACGCAAAAAAACAUAAACUGCCUUUUUUCAUGUGUGAUUUUCUCAGACCUGAAGUCUCCAUUGGGGUUAAGCACACAGGAAGUAGCCAACGAGCCACACACAACUCCUGUUGCUGCUCAGCUGUCACCCUGUCAAGAUAGGGAAACACGGGAGAUCUGCUGCAACAGGUGUGCGGAUGCUUUGUCACGUAAGCGUCCUCAUCUGUGGGUCAUCGCUCAAAUCCCCAUAAGAGCAGACUGUGACGGAGCAGAGGUGUAUACAUGUACAAACUGAAGUACUGGACGCGACGAGAACACUCUACACUCGACAGCUUUGACAAAUGAGCUGAUUGUGGCCACGGGAGAC